GGUUGGUCAGGUUUCGCAGGUUCCUGCCCAGGCGGUCCUCACUGCCGUACACCAUGCUGGCGUCCACGAAGGAGACCACAUCUUGGCCAAGGAACAAGAGACAACAUCACCCCAGAAUGUCAUCUCAAUGUGUUCAUGGAUCCUGUCACCUGCUGGGAAAGAGCCCAGGGCCUCCUCACAGAGGGGGCCAUCCUUUCAGCAUUUUUCUGCCUGGGACUUACUGUCUGUAAACUUGAUCGAGUGGCUCUUUGUGAAGAAGGUUCUAGAAUUUUGUAGGCUUUUGAAAAAAUUUUUAAGUCUACAAGCAAUGUUUUUUUUUAUUUUUUUAAGCAAUGUAUUUUAAUUGAUGAAAAGUUGGAAAAGACAAAUAGACAAAAAAUACGUUGAAAUUACUUAUAAUCAAGUGAGAUUGUAGAUAAUUUUUUUCAAGGUUUGUCAUUGGUUUUUUCACACAAAUAAGCAGUAGGAAGGAAAAUAAUUUCCCAUGAUUCUACUACUUACCAAUAUCCUACUUAAUAAUUUGAUAUCAUAUAUACAUACAUAUUUUUAAACAGUUAUAAGAACAACUUUAAAUAUUAUUUUAUAACCUGCUUUUAAUACUGAACAAUUUUAGCCUAAACAUCUAUGUCAAUAAAUGUAGAUUUACUUUA